rnacentral:rRNA from 1 species
UGGGGAAUAUUGCACAAUGGGCGAAAGCCUGAUGCAGCAACGCCGCGUGAAGGAAGAAGGCUUUCGAGUCGUAAACUUCUGUCCAAAGGGAAGAAUAAUGACGGUACCUUUGAAGAAAGCCCCGGCUAACUACGUGCCAGCAGCCGCGGUAAUACGUAGGGGGCGAGCGUUAUCCGGAAUUACUGGGCGUAAAGAGUAUGUAGGUGGUUAAGUAAGCGUAGGGUUUAAGGCGACAGCCCAACUGUCGUAUGCCCCGCGAACUGUUUAACUUGAGUACAGGAGGGGAAGGCGGAAUUCCUAGUGUAGCGGUGAAAUGCGUAGAUAUUAGGAGGAACACCAGUGGCGAAGGCGGCCUUCUGGACUGUAACUGACACUGAGAUACGAAAGCGUGGGUAGCAAACA